rnacentral:misc_RNA from 1 species
UCUCCGUUGGUGAACCAGCGGAGGGAUCAUUACAGGACUCGCAAGACUCCUUCACCCUGUGAACCUCACUACCAGCACGUUGCUUCGGCGGGUGUCCCGGCGGGGGUUUUCCCUCGCCGGGGCGCACAGCCCGCCGGCAGCCUACUAUACUCUGUCUCUUUGCGUUGGCAUCUCGAGAAAAAACAAACAAGUUAAAACUUUCAACAACGGAUCUCUUGGUUCUG